rnacentral:misc_RNA from 1 species
GAGAAGAACGCAGCAAAAUGCGAUAAGUAAUGUGAAUUGCAGAAUUCAGUGAAUCAUCGAAUCUUUGAACGCACAUUGCGCCCCCUGGUAUUCCGGGGGGCAUGCCUGUCCGAGCGUCAUUGCUGCCCUCAAGCACGGCUUGUGUGUUGGGCUCCGUCCUCCCGGGGACGGGCCCGAAAGGCAGCGGCGGCACCGAGUCCGGUCCUCGAGCGUAUGGGGCUUUGUCACCCGCUCUGUAGGCCCGGCCGGCGCCAGCCGACAACCCAUCAUCCUUUUCAGGUUGACCUCGGAUCAGGUAGGGAUACCCGCUGAACUUAAGCAUAUCAAUAAGCGGAGGA